GACGGGACCGCACAAGCAGCGGAGCGUGUGGUUUAAUUCGAAGCAACGCGAAGAACCUUUACCAGGUUCUUGACAUCCCGAUGCUAUUUCUAGAGAUAGAAAGUUACUUCGGUACAUCGGUGACAGGUGGUGCAUGGUUGUCGUCAGCUCGUGUCGUGAGAUGUUGGGUUAAGUCCCGCAACGAGCGCAACCCCUAUUGUUAGUUGCCAUCAUUCAGUUGGGCACUCUAGCGAGACUGCCGGUAAUAAACCGGAGGAAGGUGGGAUGACGUCAAAUCAUCAUGCCCCUUAUGACCUGGGCUACACACGUGCUACAAUGGUUGGUACAACGAGUUGCGAGUCGGUGACGGCGAGCUAAUCUCUUAAAGCCAAUCUCAGUUCGGAUUGUAGGCUGCAACUCGCCUACAUGAAGUCGGAAUCGCUAGUAAUCGCGGAUCAGCACGCCGCGGUGAAUACGUUCCCGGGCCUU
rnacentral:rRNA from 1 species